rnacentral:tRNA from 1 species
ACUUCGGUAGUGCAACCAGUAGCAUACCAGAUCGGAUAUCUGUAAGUGCAGGUUCGAGUCCCGCCUGAGGAA